rnacentral:rRNA from 1 species
AUUGAACGCUGGCGGCAUGCUUUACACAUGCAAGUCGAGCGGCAGCGCGGGGCAACCCUGGCGGCGAGCGGCGAACGGGUGAGUAAUGCAUCGGAACGUACCCUGGAGUGGGGGAUAACGCCGCGAAAGCGGCGCUAAUACCGCAUAUGCUCUGAGGAGGAAAGUGGGGGACCGCAAGGCCUCACGCUCUGGGAGCGGCCGAUGUCCGAUUAGCUAGUUGGUGGGGUAAAGGCUUACCAAGGCGACGAUCGGUAGCUGGUCUGAGAGGAUGAUCAGCCACACUGGGACUGAGACACGGCCCAGACUCCUACGGGAGGCAGCAGUGGGGAAUUUUGGACAAUGGGGGCAACCCUGAUCCAGCCAUGCCGCGUGAGUGAAGAAGGCC